AUUGAACGCUGGCGGCAGGCCUAACACAUGCAAGUCGAGCGAGCGGCGGACGGGUGAGUAAUGUAUGGGGACUGCACGAUCGAGGGGGAAAAAGAAAGGACACGGUGGCCAAUACCGCAUACUGUAGGAUAACCCAUGUGGGAUUAGCUAGUAGGUAAGGUAAUGGCUUACCUAGGCGACGAUCCCUAGCUGGUGUGAGAGGAUGAUCAGCCACACUGGGACGUAGACACGGCCCAGAAUCCUACGGAGGCAGCAGUGGGGAAUAUUGCACAAUGGGCGCAAGCCUGAUGCAGCCAUGCCGCGUGUAUGAAGAAGGCCCUAGGGUUGUAAAGUACUUGCAGUCGGGAGGCGUUACCGACAGAAGAAGCACCGGCUAACUCCGUGCCAGCAGCCGCGGUAAUAC
rnacentral:rRNA from 1 species